UUCUCUACCUCCAGUGUGCUGGGGUUACAGUAAAGCCUGGUUUAUGUAGGAUUGGGAUGGAACCCAGGGCUUCACGUAUGCUAGUUGUUAAAUCAAGGAAAAGGCUGUAAAUGGGGUGCAGUGGUAUAUACCUGUAAUUCUAACAAGCCUGGUGACCAAGGAAGGAAGAUUGCUUGUGUUUAGGAGUUAAAAAUCAGCCUUGGCAAUAGAGACAAUCUAUUUCAAAAAAGUACAGAAGCCAUGGUGGUACAGACUUGUAAUUCUAGCAUUGCAGAGAUGGAGGCAGGACUGUAAAUUCAGGCCUACCUGGGCUCAACAGAGAAACUCUGUCCCAUCAACAACAAAACCUGCCACCAAAAAUCAAGCAAACCAACCAGCAGCGGCUAACUGGAAGAGCAUCUAAGAAGAAUUAUAGAGCAAGGAGCACAUCACAUCAGACAUCACGGACUGGAUGGAUAGCUUGGCUGUGAAAGGCUCAGGCUAACAACCCCUCCCCGCCA